UUACAGCGGACAACCUAAUUAAAAGUGGAUGGAUGAGAAUAACAGCAUCUGUACUAAGUGGGAUAAAAGAAAAAACUGUGGAUCAUUUAUUCAUAUAAUGCGUAUUUAGUAAAUUUUUAGUGGUGACAACCUUGAAGGGGAUCCGGUUUAUAAAUUUGCAAGAUAAUGUGACUGUCGUUUAGGGAUAAUUGGAUGACAAGAUAUAUAACUCAGCCUACUCGUUUUAGGCUGACCGGAUUGACAGCAUAUUGUUGGAUUAUUUGAAAAAUCUGGUUCAAAAGAAACUCGUGAUAAAAUGUUCAUCCAUCAUAAAUAUUUUAUGUUAGGGUUAAUAAUAAUUCUUUAGUAUUGAGUGGGUGGUUGGUUUAAUAAUAUGAUCUAACAAGUAGAAAUAAUUAAAAGAAUAUAUCUAAUGAUAAAACUUAUGAAUACAAAAGACUUAUACUCAUAAAAAUAUAAUAGCCGAUUAUUAUUAUUAUUAUUAUUAUUAUAUAGAGAGAGAGAGAGAGAGAGAGAGAGAGGCUCCUAUGCUUUCGAAAGUACGAAAGCCUCUGUGCUUGUAAGUUGUUUUCGAUGAUGGAACAUUUAAUUCAGCGAUCGACUCUGUUAGACAUGAUCUACGCUAUUUGAACUAUUUAGAAACCAAAUUUUAUAAUUUUUUAACUUUAUUUGCCUAGUGAACGAUUAGGCUCAAAAUGAACAGCUGAAAGUAAAAAUCCCACAAAAAAUAGUGAUAAAAGAUUUAAAUUUCAAAUCGAAAGUAUUGUUCUUACUCUUGAUGUUAAGUGAAAUUUUCUAUUAAAGUUUCAUAUAAUUUGGAUUCUUUAUACCGUUGAACUUUCAAACGUGUCACAUUGUCCGUUAAAAUAGUCAUUUUUGAGACUCCUUGAUCGCUUGGUAAAUAAUGUCGAAAAAUUAUAAAAUUUGAUUUCUAAAUAGUUCUAAUAGCGUAAAUCAUGCCUAAUGAAGCCGAUCAUCGAAUCAGAUGCUCCAUCAUCAAAAAUAACUUAUAAAUACGAAAGCCUCCAUACUUUUCGAAAGUAUAAAAGACGUAUUAUAUAUAUA
rnacentral:lncRNA from 1 species